UCUGGUUGAUCCUGCCAGUAGUCAUAUGCUUGUCUCAAAGAUUAAGCCAUGCAUGUCUAAGUACAAACCUUAAUACGGUGAAACCGCGAAUGGCUCAUUAAAUCAGCUAUGGUUCCUUAGAUCGUCUCAUCCUACUCGGAUAACUGUGGAAAAUCUAGAGCUAAUACGUGCUUACAAGCCCUGACCUCACGGGAGGGGCGCAUUUAUUAGAUCAAAACCAAUCGGGGCUUGCCCCGUCUGCUUGGUGACUCUGGAUAACUUUUGUGCUGAUCGCAUGGCCUCUGCGCUGGCGACGUAUCUUUCAAGUGUCUGCCCUAUCAACUUACGAUGGUAGGUGAUAUGCCUACCAUGGUUAUAACGGGUAACGGGGAAUCAGGGUUCGAUUCCGGAGAGGGAGCCUGAGAAACGGCUACCACAUCUAAGGAAGGCAGCAGGCGCGCAAAUUACCCACUCCCGGCACGGGGAGGUAGUGACGAAAAAUAACGAUACGGGACUCUUUUGAGGCCCCGUAAUUGGAAUGAGUACACUUUAAAUCCGUUAACAAGUAUCUAUUGGAGGGCAAGUCUGGUGCCAGCAGCCGCGGUAAUUCCAGCUCCAAUAGCGUAUAUUAAUGUUGCUGCAGUUAAAAAGCUCGUAGUUGGAUCUGAGGACUCGAAUUGGUGGUGCACCAUACGGUGUUACUGCCGAUUCGGCCUACCUAGUCGGUGCUCGCUCUUGGUGUUCUUAAUUGAAUGCCCUGAGUGCCCGGCAAGUUUACUUUGAAAAAAUUAGAGUGCUCAAAGCAGGCCAUUAGCCGGAAUACUUCAGCAUGGAAUAAUGGAAUAGGACUUCGGUUCUAUUUUGUUGGUUUUCGGAACCCGAGGUAAUGAUUAAGAGAGACAGACGGGGGCAUUCGUACUGCGGUGUUAGAGGUGAAAUUCUUGGAUCGCCGCAAGACGAACAACUGCGAAAGCAUUUGCCAAGAAUGUUUUCAUUAAUCAAGAACGAAAGUCAGAGGUUCGAAGACGAUCAGAUACCGUCCUAGUUCUGACCAUAAACGAUGCCAACUGGCGAUCCGAGAUCGUUUGCUUAUUGACCUCUCGGGCAGCCUCCGGGAAACCAAAGUUUUUAGGUUCCGGGGGAAGUAUGGUUGCAAAGCUGGAAACUGUUCAAUUGCAACUCUGCCUGUGACACCAAGUGGUCGGGUUACUUGGUCUGUUCUGGCCCGGAGUCGGUAGGGUUUCCGGCCUUGUGCUCUUUCCUUACUGUUCUCUGUAACGCCGAAGGCGGGGCUUCCACGGUGGGGAAGCGGUUGUACAAAUCCGGCAAAUCCAGCCAAAUGGGUUCCGGACUCUGUCCAACCUGCAACUGGUAACAGCCUCGGCUGGCUAACAUUUGAGCUGGGACUCGCUUGGGAGGAGCGAGGAUAAUAUAAACCUCUAUGUGACUGAGGUGAGGAAUCUGGUUCUCGUAAAAUGGCUGGAGAUCCCGAGCCUGUAAGUCAUAAAUUAGUUCCCCCACGAGGGGAGGUGUCGAAUUGAAGCCAGUGCGUGCCCUUACUAGUUUAAGGGAUUGUAUACUUCCUUUGGUGUACCCACCUGGAAGUGCCCAAGGGGUCCUAUCCCUGCACUCCAUCCCCCGAUUGGAGUCAGGUGACGGCUCCUUA
rnacentral:rRNA from 1 species